rnacentral:lncRNA from 1 species
GCUGAAGUAAUUAACAAUAGAUUAAAUGGAUCAAUAAUUACCAUAUCAUACAUUAGUCAUGUUUGACACCUUCCAAAAAGUAUCUAAAAUAUGUUACCUGGACACAUACAUAAACUCAGGGGUAGAAUUAACUCCGUAGUAAAACAAUUUGACAAGUGACCUUACCUCUAUUUAUAGAGAAUGUCAGUAAACACAAUUGAUACGAUUUUUAUUAUAAAAGUUACAGAAAUUUCCAGAUUUAAUCACCUAGAAAACUUUGUUUUAAUCUGCUUAAUCAUAAGGAAGAUUGUUCCAUGUAUUUGUUUGACAGGCUCCUCGGAAUCUAAAUAUUUAUAUAUUUUGCCUUUCUUACCACCAUGUAAAUUGUAGAACCGUUGGUGCAAAGAUCAAAAGAAAACCUAGACUGAGGGACCAAAAGAUGGCAUAAGGUUUGGAAGGAUAUGUGGGCUCUGUGUGAAGGGAAUGUUUUCCAAGCAUUGUAACAAGAGUGCAUUGACUUGAGGUGGAGACAAAACAUUAAAAGGUAACGUAAGCUGGCUGGAGGGAAAACAUCAGAUCUGAAAUCAGAUCAGGCUCGUUGCUGUGAAGAUAUGUUAGAAGGCAAGUUAGAGUCCCAUUGUUAGAAGAAGAACAAGAUGCCAAAUGUUGAUCCUGGCAGCUUAAGUUCUCAAAAACAUUUGCUGGUUCAUGUCUUUUUAUAUAUUCCCUGGAUAUUCCAGAGUCACUCACAUAGGGCCUCCACUAUGACGUGCAAAUAAGGCAUCUGGCAAGUGGCAAAGCCAGGAUGCAAACUCAGUUCUAACUGUGGGUUAGAACAAAGGAGCAGAAAAAAAUAACAUAACCAUCCUGGCUAACACGGUGAAACCCCGUCUCUACUAAA